rnacentral:rRNA from 1 species
GACGAACGCUGGCGGCGUGCUUAACACAUGCAAGUCGAACGGAAAGGCGCUGCGCUUGUGGGUUGCUCGAGUGGCGAACGGGUGAGUAACACGUGAGUAACAUGCCCUUGACUUUGGGAUAACAUCUGGAAACUGGGGCUAAUAUAGGAUAGGAGCUCCUGCUGCAUGGGGGGGGUUGGAAAGUUUCGGCGGUUGGGGCUGGACUCGAGGGUUAUCAGCUUGUUGGUGGGGUAGGGGCUUACCAAGGCUUUGACGGAUAGCCGGCAUGAGAGGGUGACCGGCCUCCUUGCGACUGCGAGACGCACCAGUCUCCUACGGUCGGCAGUAGUCGGGAGUCUUGCACAAUGGGCCGAAGCGUGAUGCAGCAACGCCGCGUGCGUGAUACCCUCUUUCUGGUUGUAAACCGCUUUGUACUGUGACGAAGCGUGCGUGACGGUAAUUAGUAAAGAAGCACCGGCUAACUACGUG